rnacentral:misc_RNA from 1 species
AAGUCGUAACAAGGUCUCCGUAGGUGAACCUGCGGAGGGAUCAUUCACAUGAUAUACUUUAAACAAACUGUGAACUUUAAACAAAAUACUAUUCGUGUGUGUUGUUGACUUUAUGUUAAUUUCAUACAUUGUCAUUCGAUUGAACAUAAGAUAGUUGGCUUGAAAUUGUAAUUUAUUACAUUUUCUUUCUCAGCUUUGAUUUGAUAGAACUAAACAUUUUAUCACUUCAACCAUAAAACAUAGAAACAACUCUAUGCCCUGGAUAUCUUGGUUCUC